rnacentral:lncRNA from 1 species
UUUGUUCAUUACAUAUAUUUACCCUGUCCAUUGCGUGAAAGCUUGUAUAUUACUUGUAACAGUUUUGACACAAAUAUAAGAGAACGGUUACUUAAAUAAAUCAUUUGUUGUACAUAAAACCCAUAAGCACUUCAUAAUUACACCAUCAAAUGUAUUAAAGUUCAUGGAGUAAUAUUUUACAUCAAUUCAACAUAAGGGAAAAAACAGUAAUAAAUCAUAGAGAUACAUUCAAUGAACACUCAUGAUCCGCAUAGUUACUUCCAUCGAGUGAUCUUCUUGGGCUGCUAGAUCACGUGACACAACUUCCUAUAUCAUGUGUCGACAAAAUAAAUAAAAUCAACAAUUGAUAAAAACCCAAAACUCAAUCAUGAUUGUAUGUGAUCAAUUUACUAAGACAUGCUUGUACUGCUCUAACUAAACUUGGGCUGCUUGUACUUCUAUCAACUAAAUAAUGUCCUUCUCUAAAAGAUUAAGGAGAGUAAUGUGGUAGAUCAAACAAGCAAAAGAUUACCUUCUAUUUGAAUGUUGUAUGCCCAUGUAUAACUGAUCCGUUAAGGUAAAAAUGUAAACCUCACAAAACUAGUCAUAUCAUUUUGAUCUCACAUAAUUUUAUUGGGUAAAAAAAGGGAAAAUCCAAGACAAAAAAGCAACAAAAUGGAAGAGGACAGACUAGCAAAAUGUAUUCUAAGGAAAUUAGGAACCAAAAUACCAACUGAUGACACUGGAUUAUUGCUUUCCAAUAUAAGUUUUCACUACUUUUUUCUAAAUUCUACCUCCAUUAUGCACGGACGAUAUAAGAAAUUUACUCAAUUAGGCCAUUUAAAAGGUAAAUUGUAGGUAAAUCUAUUUAAUAGUAUUGAUAUUUAAAUUGAAUAAAUGGUCAGCAACAUGUUACAACAUGUUAAGUUACAUUGAUGGGUGUAAUAAGUUAUUGUAUUGUAAGCAUAUAUAAUUUAUAUCUUUGUUAAAUUACUAAUUUCAUUUAUAAUGAUCAAUAGUUAUUUGUAAGUGACCUGAUAGUAUAAAUUAAACAGUUACCUAAAAUGAAUAAUUUCUACUUGCCUUUUGAACCCAGGCAAUACCAAAAUCAAAUCCACAGCUUCCAAUUUGUUGUGCUUCCUCAAUGGAACUCGAGAGAGACAAUCAGGAUUAACUUGCUCAAUAUCAUUUGAUCCUGCUGAUAGAGUCCGAGCAACUGAUGCUAAUAACUUUUGUGAUUUUCCAGAAGUUUUCUGUAGAUACUCAUCCCUCAAUUCUCCUAAUUAUCAUGAAACAAGAUUAAUGGUAAGCAACUAUAAAAUGAACUCUUUGAAAAUGGGGUAACUGUAUGGCAAUUAAAUUGAAGUAUUGAAGUACUUAGAGAUAGUUAAGGUUUUUAAAAUCCACUAUGAGGUUUUACAAUUGGUUGGUCCCUCUAUUCUAAAUAAUAAGACAAAUUACUUUCUCUUUGGUAUGUUCAAACUGAAACUUGUCCUCUUGCCGAAAAGGAAAGAUUUCUCUCCAACAGUCUAAACUAAAAGAGAAAUAUCAGAAUAUUUAUCAACGACGGCUUGUUUGGUUUAAUUAUCUUGUUUGAAAUAACUAAAUUUUCCUGACUGUAUAGUUUCUUUAGUUACCGUCACUAUCUGGCUGUUGUCCUAAAACUAAAAAGCUAACUAUUGACUUUAACAUCCAAAAAGAUUAAUUAUUCGAACAAACUCUGUAAUAAUUAUUUUUCACAAUCCAAAUUUAACCAUGCUCUGCCACUAACUAGACUGUUCCUUAGAUAUAAUAUAAAAUAAUUCUCAAAAAAUAAAGAAAACUAAAAACAAAUCCGACAGGUAUAUUGACAGAUGAAAGCAAACUAACAAUGAAACCGUAGAACCAAAUUAAUAAAUAGAGAAAAGGAGAUAAAAUUAGAAAGGACCUAGCUAAACUUCGUUUGAAGUUGGGAGUUGAGAUCACUAAAGUUGUUGCGGAGAUAAGCAAACUCCAUACGAGCUUCAUCGUGUUUGAAUCGAUAGCCUCGGCGAGAAUAGACUAGAAGCUUCGCCAUUCCUUCUCGUGUCCGAAUCGAUGGCCUAAGCGAGAAUAGAAGAAAGAAUCGCCGGCUACGGCGAUCUGAUGAUACAACGGCAAGGGAGAGGGAAAACUGCACAAAACAGAAUUUAUUUGGGGGAAGUUCUAAUUGGUGAGACUUAGAGUGACACUUAUUUUAGGUUUGCCCGCAGUAAUAUAUGAUAAACUGCCAAUUUACGGCUGCAUAAUAUGGCGACUUAACAAUUGCGCUAAUAGAGUGCUUAUUAUGGACUAAAAUCGCCGCAAUAUUGUCGGUUUUUUGUAGUGAUUUAGCUAAUACAGUAUUGAAGGGCUUAAUUUUUCGUAUAACAAAUAGCUCUAUGUGGGUUAUGGCUAAAGGAUAUAGAUAAGAUAAAGUUGAUCAAAGAAUUCUUGCUUCUGACAUCGUAAAUUAAAGUUGUUAAAUUUCAAAAGGAUGAUAUAAGAAAAUUUAAUUGAUAGUGUGAUGGCUAGAAAAAUAGAGAUAAAGUUUGUCAGAAAGUAUUCCUUUUGAAUUUAUUCAUAAAGAUCUUAAGGUUAGACGAGAAUGCUAGCUUUUGCUUUUUGGUAUAUCUAGAUUUGUAAUUUAUAGAUAGAAUAAAUAUUUUUUGAGAUGUAUGCAUUAACUAUAUUUAGUGUAUAAUCUAAUUAAAAAAUUUUAAAAUACAUGUACA